ACCGAGAUGAUCAUUUGGUGAAAACAACUAAAGUUCAGAUGCAAAAUCUAGAAGACAGAGUUUGGAAACUAUUCACUGAAAACACCAACAAACUCAAACAACAAACUACGUGGUGCAUCAUCUGGACUCGAGAAAACGAAAAUGUCUGCUGUUACUGAGUCACUCUGCUUGGCUUUCCUGUUUGUUGUGUUUGUUUGUGCAGACCAGAAAACCAUCACAGCUGAAUCUGGUCAGGACGUCACUCUGACAUGUCGAGCUCCAAAAAACAAGAUCAGAGCUGUAAAGUGGAGCAGAGCUGACCUGGGAGAUGAAUAUGUGUUUUGGUGUAAGGGUGGGUGGUUUAUUUUAGAUUACCAGCAUCCAUCUUUUAAGAACCGGGUGGAUCUGCAGGACAGACAGAUGAAGGCUGGAGACGUGUCUUUGAUUCUGAAGAAUGUGAGGGCUGCUGAUGAUGGAAUAUACAUGUGUCAUGUCAACGUGAGAGGAACACGCUCAACUGAGCUCAUCAGCAUCAUCACACUGAGAGUUGUUGAUCCUCCAGGUCAGACAGGAGGAUCUACUGUACUUAUGUUUGUUGGUGUGGUUCUUCUCUCUAGUGUUACUGGUGGUGUUUUUGGUGGUGCUUGUGGUUUGGUGACCGAAAUACUGAUAAAUAAACUUUCAAGAAGAUCCAGGAGAUGGCUGUAGAACUCACACAGCCAGAGUUUCAUUUUCUUUAUCAUUUCUGUGAUUAUCAUCAUGUUCAGACUAAGACCAACAGUGUGUCUAUCCUGUCUAUCUGCGUCUUUAAAUUACAGUUUAUUUAUCUCCAGGCUAUCCAUGAGUUUCACUGACACAAACUAAAACUGUUAAAUAUAAAGUAAUGUUCUAUAAUGUCAGAAUUAAUUGGAGUUUUAUUUUAGCUUCAGGAUCAGCAGCUGUUGAAGUAUAAUUACAGACACAGAUUCAACAACACAAACACUGUUUGUCAUAAUCUGAGUGUAGAUGAAGUUCUGUGGAAUUUAAAUGAACAGUUAUCUGGAUCCUCAUAUUCAGGAUCCAUUGAUCAGCUACAACUGAAUGGGGUUUGCAUAAUGUUUUAUUAAUUUCAGUUCAUCAAAUCUGCCUUCUAAAAAACUUUUAUGACAUUAUAUGAAGAUAAAUGUUGUUGCAGGCUCAUUGUUCUUUUGACUUUUUGAAAGAAAGCUGAAGAAUCUAAAGCUCUUAACCAUGUGCACUUUCUCUUGUCUUAAGCUUUUUUGUUAAUAAAGAUUUACAUGCAAAUCAUU
rnacentral:lncRNA from 1 species